CUGGCGUUCGCUCAGAGACUUCUCAGGUGCUGCGAGCAAAUCACUCUGCCCAAGUAGCAGAAGUACGAGUGCUUUGCCUUCUGAAAAUAUAGUUCCCAGGUAGUAUGCGGUUAGAAGGUGGCUGUGUCUCAUGUGACCUUGCUAUUUGUACACGCUGUGACUAUAUAAAUCACAACAUGUAAAUAUGAACAUGUUGCCGUUAUUUUGUCACUCAUUGGGAGCA